rnacentral:rRNA from 1 species
GAUGAACGCUGGCGGCGUGCCUAAUACAUGCAAGUCGAGCGCGAGAUUGAGGAGCUUGCUCCUUAAUCCCGAGCGGCGGACGGGUGAGUAACACGUAGGCAACCUACCCUUGAGAUUGGGAUAACUACCGGAAACGGUAGCUAAUACCGGAUAGGACUUUCCUGCAUAAGCAGUUAAGUUAAAUGGCGGAUUUAUCUGCCGCUCAUGGAUGGGCCUGCGGUGCAUUAGCGAGUUGGUGAGAUAGUGGCUCACCAAGGCGACGAUGCAUAGCCGACCUGAGAGGGUGAUCGGCCACACUGGGACUGAGACACGGCCAGACUCCUACGGGAGGCAGCAGUAGGGAAUCUUCCGCAAUGGACGCAAGUCUGACGGAGCAACGCCGCGUGAGUGAUGAAGGGUUUCGGCUCGUAAAACUCUGUUGUUAAGGAAGAACACUUGAAGUAGUAACUGGCCUUGAGAUGACGGUACUUAACCAGAAAGCCACGGCUAACUACGUGCCAGCCGCCGCCGUAA